UGGGGAAUUUUGGACAAUGGGCGAAAGCCUGAUCCAGCAAUGCCGCGUGUGUGAAGAAGGCCUUCGGGUUGUAAAGCACUUUUGUCCGGAAAGGAAAUCCUUGGGCUCUAAUACAGCUCGGGGGAUGACGGUACCGGAAGAAUAAGCACCGGCUAACUACGUGCCAGCAGCCGCGGUAAUACGUAGGGUGCAAGCGUUAAUCGGAAUUACUGGGCGUAAAGCGUGCGCAGGCGGUUUGCUAAGACCGAUGUGAAAUCCCGGGCUCAACCUGGGAACUGCAUUGGUGACUGGCAGGCUAGAGUAUGGCAGAGGGGGGUAGAAUUCCACGUGUAGCAGUGAAAUGCGUAGAGAUGUGGAGGAAUACCGAUGGCGAAGGCGAGCCCCCUGGGCCAAUACUGGACGCUCAUGCACGAAAGCGUGGGGAGCAAACAGGAUUAGAUACCCUGGUAGUCCACGCCCUAAACGAUGUCAACUAGUUGUUGGGGAUUCAUUUCCUUAGUAACGUAGCUAACGCGUGAAGUUGACCGCCU
rnacentral:rRNA from 1 species